UACGGAGGGUGCAAGCGUUGUUCGGAAUCAUUGGGCGUAAAGCGCGCGUAGGCGGUUCUCUAAGUCUGGUGUGAAAGCCCGGGGCUCAACCCCGGAAGUGCACUGGAUACUGGUGAACUAGAGGACGGGAGAGGAGAUCGGAAUUCAUGGUGUAGGGGUGAAAUGCGCAGAUAUCAGGAGGAACACCUAUUGCGAAGGCAGCUCGCUGGUACGUAACUGACGCUGAGACGCGAAAGCGUGGGGAGCGAACAGG
rnacentral:rRNA from 1 species